rnacentral:rRNA from 1 species
GACGAACGCUGGCGGCGUGCUUAACACAUGCAAGUCGAACGGAAAGGCCCUGCUUUUGUGGGGUGCUCGAGUGGCGAACGGGUGAGUAACACGUGAGUAACCUGCCCUUGACUUUGGGAUAACUUCAGGAAACUGGGGCUAAUACCGGAUAGGAGCUCCUGCUGCAUGGUGGGGGUUGGAAAGUUUCGGCGGUUGGGGAUGGACUCGCGGCUUAUCAGCUUGUUGGUGGGGUAGUGGCUUACCAAGGCUUUGACGGGUAGCCGGCCUGAGAGGGUGACCGGCCAAAUUGGGACUGAGAUACGGCCCAGACUCCUACGGGAGGCAGCAGUGGGGAAUAUUGCACAAUGGGCGGAAGCCUGAUGCAGCAACGCCGCGUGCGGGAGGACGGCCUUCGGGUUGUAAACCGCUUUCGCCUGUGACGAAGCGUGAGUGACGGUAAUGGGUAAAGAAACACCGGCUAACUACGU